rnacentral:rRNA from 1 species
GAAACCAACAGGGAUUGCCCUAGUAACGGCGAGUGAAGCGGCAACAGCUCAAAUUUGAAAUCUGGCCCUCGGGUCCGAGUUGUAAUUUGUAGAGGACGCCUUUGGCGCGGUGCCUUCCGAGUUCCCUGGAACGGGACGCCUUAGAGGGUGAGAGCCCCGUACGGUUGGACACCAAGCCUCUGUAAGGCCCCUUCGACGAGUCGAGUAGUUUGGGAAUGCUGCUCUAAAUGGGAGGUAAAUUUCUUCUAAAGCUAAAUACUGGCCAGAGACCGAUAGCGCACAAGUAGAGUGAUCGAAAGAUGAAAAGCACUUUGAAAAGAGGGUUAAAUAGCACGUGAAAUUGUUGAAAGGGAAGCGUUUGCGACCAGACCUCUCCCCGGCGGGUCACCUGGUGUUCUUCACCGGGGCACUUCGCCGGGGCAGAGGCCAGCAUCGGUUUCCGCAGGGGGAUAAAAGCUCAGGGAACGUAGCUCCUUCGGGAGUGUUAUAGCCCUCUGCACAAUACCCCUGCGGGGACCGAGGACCGCGCCCCCGGGCAAGGAUGCUGGCGUAAUGGUCGCCAACGACCCGUCUUGAAACACGGACCAAGGAGUCGAACAUUUGUGCGAGUGUUUGGGUGUCAAACCCUCACGCGUAAUGAAAGUGAACGGAGGUGAGAGCCCCUAGGGGCGCAUCAUCGACCGAUCCUGAUGUCUUCGGAUGGAUUUGAGUAAGAGCACAACUGUUCGGACCCGAAAGAUGGUGAACUAUGCGUGGAUAGGGUGAAGCCAGAGGAAACUCUGGUGGAGGCUCGCAGCGGUUCUGACGUGCAAAUCGAUCGUCAAAUCUGCGCAUGGGGGCGAAAGACUU